ACAUUCUGGAGCAUUGGAGCAGCAUUAUUCAAUUUUUCUUUAUUUAAUGAAUUUCUUCAUUGGAUUUUUCUUGAAUUUUCAUGUAUAUAUUUGUUCUUAUGUGACACAUCCGAGCUACGGACAUAAACAUGCGCUGACAUAAUUUUACUGCUACAUGCAGGGUUUGGCUCUCCGAUGCAGCUCUUUCAGGAUGCACUUGAAACCCUCUGUGUCGUCCUAGCUACUGUUAGACACCUCUAUUGCUCCUUGCAUUCGAUAACGGCUCCAUGAAGCUUUGCAUCCUCAAGAUAAGGAUCUGAUUGGUGUCAUGGUAAUACACAUGGUGAUGACAAGGUCCCUUAGUCCUGCCACCCAAGGCAGGGAUUUGAGCAGACUUGGAUGCUCGUGACAACCAUUCUCCAGGAUCGAAAUAUUGUCAAUGGGAAAUCAAAGGUGUUCCUUUGAGAAUCGAGAUCGGUCCAAAAGAUUUGUCAAAUAAGCAGAUAGGCUGGAACGAAUAUUUGCCUGUGGCAGCGAUGUCCUUUUCUUGAUCUGCAUGGUUAAGUGUAAAAUGGCGCAUACAUAAUGUUGCCGGCGCCGGCCACGAACCCAAACUGUUGCUCCUCGAUCAUGCCGACCACCACAUCAUCCGCCACUACCUCCCCAAGCUUCUGCUGCCCCUACCCUUGGACAUGGCUUCUUGCUCUUCCUACGGUAACAUGGUUUUUUUUGUCCUGGCUUUGACAUUGGUGGCGGAUGUGGGCCGCUGCUGGUGUCGCCGGAGAGGAUGCCACCGUCCUUGUGUCCUGCUGCUCGACGACAACUACGGUGACGAGAAAUGGGAGAUGGGAGAAGAAGAAAUCUGCGCAAAAGGAGAAGAAGAAAGCUGAACAAGAGACAUUUCUAACAAAUACUUUGAUUCUUCGAAAAGCUCUACACUUUAAGUCCACUAAUUUAGUAUUUAUUUCAGGUUCACUCCAUGAAAAUGAAAAAUAAAAGAUCAAAUGCAAAAAAGAAAAUCAUCCGAGAGUGACAGCCUACAACAAGAGGAGACGAAAUAUGAGGUAGCUAUUUCUUUAGUUACAGCACAAUUCAAGUAUCUUUGUUUGUCAUCUCUUUAUUUUCACUACAUACCUGAGCACAUAUGUCUUUUACCACUUUAUCUGGACCAGGAAUCUUUUUUCUUGGACAUUAGUUUUUCUUUUUUGAAACGCGGGCAAAAGCUUUGCCCUUUCUAUUAAUUAAGGAGAAGUUUUACAAGAAAAAAAAGGUGUUGGACUAUCGAUACUUUGGCUCAUGCGUUGGAAAAGGCAACGGGACAUGGGCUUCUCAAUAAGAUCCGAGGGCGGGGUACCAUCCUCCGCACAUCUCUUUAUGCGGAUGAUGCGGCGGUUUUGUAGCCCCUAUUAAAGAAGACAUUCAAAACCUCGCCCACAUCCUCAAUGACUUCGGAAAGGUUACCAGGCUAUGCACAAACUUCCUCAAGAGCUCCGUAGUGCCCAUAAGGUGUGCCAACAUUGACCUCGAUGACAGCCACAAUACCAUAUGGAGCAAUUCAUCAAUGACAGCUGCAUCACCAUAUGGAGGUUCAUCGUCUGUCGUUAUGCCUCCAAUUCUAGGAAAAUAUACAAGCAUGUUGUAUCAAGUUCAGCAAAGCUCCGCUCCUGUGUCCAGUUCUCUGCAAUUACGCUUUGAUGGAACUGGAGAAGUCCAACAAUACGAUGGAUCAAAGUUAGAGAUGAAUUGUGUAAUUUAAGGAUGUUGGAUGCAGACCUUUGUUAUAAUCUUUUAUGCACUUGGAAAUUUUAAUGUAAUAGCUAAUAGGCACAGGGUAGUAGAAAGUAAAUGAAUUUAUGUUUCGGAAUCUGGAUUCUCCACAGUGUAU